rnacentral:rRNA from 1 species
GGGUUGUGAGGUUAAGCGACUAAGCGUACACGGUGGAUGCCCUGGCAGUCAGAGGCGAUGAAGGGCGUGCUAAUCUGCGAUAAGCGCCGGUAAGGUGAUAUGAACCGUUAUAACCGGCGAUACCCGAAUGGGGAAACCCAGUGUGAUUCGUCACACUAUCAUUAACUGAAUCCAUAGGUUAAUGAGGCGAACCGGGGGAACUGAAACAUCUAAGUACCCCGAGGAAAAGAAAUCAACCGGAAUUCCCCCAGUAGCGGCGAGCGAACGGGGAGGAGCCCAGAGCCUGAAUCAGCAUGUGUGUUAGUGGAAGCGUCUGGAAAGGCGCGCGAUACAGGGUGACAGCCCCGUACACAAAAGCGCAUGUGCUGUGAGCUCGAUGAGUAGGGCGGGACACGUGGUAUCCUGUCUGAAUAUGGGGGGACCAUCCUCCAAGGCUAAAUACUCCUGACUGACCGAUAGUGAACCAGUACCGUGAGGGAAAGGCGAAAAGAACCCCGGCGAGGGGAGUGAAAAAGAACCUGAAACCGUGUACGUACAAGCAGUGGGAGCACAGGUUUACCUGUGUGACUGCGUACCUUUUGUAUAAUGGGUCAGCGACUUAUAUUCUGUAGCAAGGUUAACCGAAUAGGGGAGCCGGAGGGAAACCGAGUCUUAAUUGGGCGUUAAGUUGCAGGGUAUAGACCCGAAACCCGGUGAUCUAGCCAUGGGCAGGUUGAAGGUUGGGUAACACUAACUGGAGGACCGAACCGACUAAUGUUGAAAAAUUAGCGGAUGACCUGUGGCUGGGGGUGAAAGGCCAAUCAAACCGGGAGAUAGCUGGUUCUCCCCGAAAGCUAUUUAGGUAGCGCCUCGUGAAUUCAUCUCCGGGGGUAGAGCACUGUUUCGGCUAGGGGGCCAUCCCGGCUUACCAACCCGAUGCAAACUGCGAAUACCGGAGAAUGUUAUCACGGGAGACACACGGCGGGUGCUAACGUCCGUCGUGAAGAGGGAAACAACCCAGACCGCCAGCUAAGGUCCCAAAGUCAUGGUUAAGUGGGAAACGAUGUGGGAAGGCCCAGACAGCCAGGAUGUUGGCUUAGAAGCAGCCAUCAUUUAAAGAAAGCGUAAUAGCUCACUGGUCGAGUCGGCCUGCGCGGAAGAUGUAACGGGGCUAAACCAUGCACCGAAGCUGCGGCAGCGAACGUAUCACCCAAGACAACUUUACGGAGUUGACGAUUGACGGAGCGAAGCGACGUCAAAGCGUUCAUUAAAGUCGAGUUGGCUUAGGGAUACGUUCGUUGGGUAGGGGAGCGUUCUGUAAGCCUGUGAAGGUGUGUCGUGAGGCAUGCUGGAGGUAUCAGAAGUGCGAAUGCUGACAUAAGUAACGAUAAAGCGGGUGAAAAGCCCGCUCGCCGGAAGACCAAGGGUUCCUGUCCAACGUUAAUCGGGGCAGGGUGAGUCGACCCCUAAGGCGAGGCCGAAAGGCGUAGUCGAUGGGAAACGGGUUAAUAUUCCCGUACUUGGUGUUACUGCGAAGGGGGGACGGAGAAGGCUAUGUUGGCCGGGCGACGGUUGUCCCGGUUUAAGCGUGUAGGUGUGUGUUCCAGGUAAAUCCGGUUCACUUUAACACUGAGGCGUGACGACGAGGCACUACGGUGCUGAAGCAACAAAUGCCCUGCUUCCAGGAAAAGCCUCUAAGCAUCAGGUAACAUCAAAUCGUACCCCAAACCGACACAGGUGGUCAGGUAGAGAAUACCAAGGCGCUUGAGAGAACUCGGGUGAAGGAACUAGGCAAAAUGGUGCCGUAACUUCGGGAGAAGGCACGCUGACACGUAGGUGAAGUGAUUUACUCAUGGAGCUGAAGUCAGUCGAAGAUACCAGCUGGCUGCAACUGUUUAUUAAAAACACAGCACUGUGCAAACACGAAAGUGGACGUAUACGGUGUGACGCCUGCCCGGUGCCGGAAGGUUAAUUGAUGGGGUCAGCGCAAGCGAAGCUCCUGAUCGAAGCCCCGGUAAACGGCGGCCGUAACUAUAACGGUCCUAAGGUAGCGAAAUUCCUUGUCGGGUAAGUUCCGACCUGCACGAAUGGCGUAAUGAUGGCCAGGCUGUCUCCACCCGAGACUCAGUGAAAUUGAACUCGCUGUGAAGAUGCAGUGUACCCGCGGCAAGACGGAAAGACCCCGUGAACCUUUACUAUAGCUUGACACUGAACAUUGAGCCUUGAUGUGUAGGAUAGGUGGGAGGCUUUGAAGUGUGGACGCCAGUCUGCAUGGAGCCGACCUUGAAAUACCACCCUUUAAUGUUUGAUGUUCUAACGUGGACCCGUAAUCCGGGUUGCGGACAGUGUCUGGUGGGUAGUUUGACUGGGGCGGUCUCCUCCUAAAGAGUAACGGAGGAGCACGAAGGUUGGCUAAUCCUGGUCGGACAUCAGGAGGUUAGUGCAAUGGCAUAAGCCAGCUUGACUGCGAGCGUGACGGCGCGAGCAGGUGCGAAAGCAGGUCAUAGUGAUCCGGUGGUUCUGAAUGGAAGGGCCAUCGCUCAACGGAUAAAAGGUACUCCGGGGAUAACAGGCUGAUACCGCCCAAGAGUUCAUAUCGACGGCGGUGUUUGGCACCUCGAUGUCGGCUCAUCACAUCCUGGGGCUGAAGUAGGUCCCAAGGGUAUGGCUGUUCGCCAUUUAAAGUGGUACGCGAGCUGGGUUUAGAACGUCGUGAGACAGUUCGGUCCCUAUCUGCCGUGGGCGCUGGAGAACUGAGGGGGGCUGCUCCUAGUACGAGAGGACCGGAGUGGACGCAUCACUGGUGUUCGGGUUGUCAUGCCAAUGGCACUGCCCGGUAGCUAAAUGCGGAAGAGAUAAGUGCUGAAAGCAUCUAAGCACGAAACUUGCCCCGAGAUGAGUUCUCCCUGAGACUUAGAGUCUCCUGAAGGAACGUUGAAGACGACGACGUUGAUAGGCCGGGUGUGUAAGCGCAGCGAUGCGUUGAGCUAACCGGUACUAAUGAACCGUGAGGCUUAACCUUACAACGCCGAAG